GGAAGACGCGCCGAUUCCAUUUCACUUCCUCGGUGAAACAUUUUGUUUCUCGCCACAGCGCAAGAGAACUCUGUUUCGGCUCCUAGUGGAGUCCUCCUGGGGCUUCUUCCACUGAGCCCAUUGUCACUCAAAAAGUGAGGAAUCAUGUGAUCAGACCCUGAUGAACCUUGACCUUGGAGUCCAGCUUCUAUCUCUUUGGAAGUUGUCCUUGUCUUUAUGUCUACCAUUCACAUUUUCCUUGUGCCCAUUCUGGGGUUAAUUUUCCUCUUACAAUCGUUUCCAGACAACUCUGUCCUUUCCUGUCUGUGGUCCGUGUUCAGAGUUGGACACACGAUGAUACCAAAGCAACAGAAGAGCUUUCUCCAUUUAAAUCAGCAGAAUGACUGAUUGCAUGAUUGGAGUCGUGUAUGAUACUAACAAAAGGAAACAGGUAGAGUGAAAAAUCUCUCUACCCUAAUUAUUUAGGAUCUUUUCUAUGGGUUACUAACAAAUCUGUCCUGGCAAUUUUAAAAUAUCUUUGUAGAAUAAGCAAUUCUUGAUCUCUUUUCACACUCGCUUUGCUUUACUUGAUGAGAUACCAAAGGCAUGCAGGUCUACAUGGGACAAUUGCUUUUCAUGUAAUCACAUUUCAGGAGACACACAGCACUUUUUCAAUGGGGGAUCAACAAAUCUGUCUGUAUCUGUAAAUCAAUAAUUUAUACUGCUUUCUACUGAGACUAUUUCAAACUGAGAAAAGGGAUAAUACCAGCUUGAAGCAACUGUAAUCACACUUUAAUGGGUGUCACACUAACAAAAACAAAUAAAAGGGCAAUCAUCAGUUUAAUCUGGAAAAUGAAAUUAAAAUGUAAAUAAAUUUAAAAAAUAAAAUUGGAAAUAGAUUUGGAGUUAGUUUAUGUUGUCAUGUGAUUUCAUCUUUUGAUUGCUGAUUCUUCGAUUUCCCAUUUUAUUAUUCAAUGCUAGAUUUGAACAUUUAGUAACAUGUGAAACACAUGAGCGCCCAAAUUCUGCAGAGCAGAGCAGUUCAUUUAAUGCUUGCACUCAAAUAGGACAGACAUUUUGAAAUAUUAGUAAAUAAAAUAACUAACACUAAUUAGAAAUAAAUAAAUGUUACAAUAAUUUAAUAAACAUGAGAAAGCUUUUGAACUCUCCUUUAUUACUUGCUAUAUCAUUAAUUUUUUCCACUAAUGACAAUUCUUAUAAAAGGAGCCUGCAUAUGACAGUUUUUUGUUUCUUUUACGCCAGCAGUCAAUUUGGUUAAAAUGUAGGCUAUUAUCCACUUUAAAACAUACAAUUCAUACAACGGGGACUGUUGCCCCUGAUAUAUUGACAUGAAUUCUGCCCCCAAAACCUUCAGAGAUGCUUUGCUGACAUUGUAAGAAAUAACAACAGGUUUAAUCUGCAUGUAGUGGUGCUUACCCUUAAAUCAAAACUCUUUUGCAGGCGCAUCUCCAGUCACAUCUCCUAGCUCUUCUUUUCUGCUAGACUAUAAAACUUGACAGUCGACUGAAAAAAACAAAUUUACAUUGUUCUAACUCUGAGUUUAAACAUGACAUGUAUAUAAAUGUCCCCAUUAUCCACAUAGCCUUCUUCAAAAAAAUCAAACAAGGUAAACUUAAUAUUUGCACUAUUAGUUCCAGAAGCAUGCUAAUUGAACUGCUAAAAAUAUCAGCCAGCACGCUUAAAAUCGAGACUUUGCUCAAUUGUAAGAUGCUGUGAUUGUGCUGAACUGCCAAUUCUAAAACAAACUCAUCUGAAAUGUGACAUCAUAACUGCACUGAAAUCAGCUAAUUGGGCUUAUUCUAUACUCAGCCCUGAUGUGACAUGCCAUAGUUGGCUCACAGAUUAACCAGCCUUUUCUAAUCCAGAUUCAGCCCAGAUGUGGGCUAGUGAAUAUGCACCAAACAAGGCAUUCUUCCUCAUCAAGGCAUGUUAAACUGAAUAAAGUGUCUUCUUUGCACCUCAGUUACAGAUUUACAUUCAGUGUAUACAAUAAAAGCAAAACGUAAUAAGGAACCAACCAGUUGGCCAAAACUGCUGAAACUACAAUUAGUAUAAAACACUUCCAUGGCACUAUGCAUACAGUGACUCUACUGACUCAACACUAUGUAAUAAGUGUAUAAGUUUAAUAUGUCAUUCUGCUUUGUGCAAAUGUAUUUUAUAAUUCUACCUUUUUCUACUCACA